GCCAGCGGCCAUAUCCCCCUGCAACUUGCAACUCGCAACCAGCAGACUGCUAAGGCUAAGCAAGUGUGAGCCCAGCCGGUACCUGGAUGGGAGACCUCCAGGGAAAGUUAAGGUUGCUGCUGGAA
rnacentral:rRNA from 1 species